rnacentral:tRNA from 1 species
GCGGGUAUGGCGGAAUUGGCAGACGCGCCAGAUUUAGGUUCUGGUGGGAGACCGUGCAGGUUCGAGUCCUGUUACCCGCA